rnacentral:rRNA from 1 species
CGCGUAGGCGGACAUGACAGUGCUUUGUGAAACUCCCCCGGCUUAACCGGGGAAUGGCUGGGCAUACUACAUGUCUUGAGGCAAGCAGGGGUGUGUGGAACUCUUGGUGGAGCGGUGGAAUGCGUAGAUAUCAAGAGGAACGCCGAAGGUGAAGACAGCACACUGGACUUGCCCUGACGCUGAGGCGCGAAAGCGUGGGGAGCAAACA